GACGAACGCUGGCGGCGUGCUUAACACAUGCAAGUCGAACGGAAGGGCGCGGCGUUUGUGGGGUUCUCGAUUGGGGAGCGGGGGAGUGACACGUGAGGAACCUGCCCUUGACUGUGGGAUAACUUCUGGGAACUGGGGCGAAUACCGCGGAGGAUCUCCUGCUGCACAUGGUUGGUUGGAAAGUGUCGGCGGUGGGGUCUGUACUCGCUGCUUAUCAGCUUGUUGGUGGGGUAGGGGCUUUCCAGGGCUUUGACGGGUAGCCUGCCUGAGAGGGUGACCGGCCACAUUGGGACUGCGAUACGGAGCAGACUCCUACGGGAGGCAGCAGUGGGGAACAUUGCAGAAUGGGCGGACGCCUGAUGCAGAAACGCUGCGUGCGGGAUGCCGGCUUUCGGGUUGUAAACCGAUUUCGACUGUGCUGAAGAGUGAGUGACGGUAAUGGGUCAAGAAGCACCGGCUAACUACGUG
rnacentral:rRNA from 1 species